GAACCUUACCUGGGCUCGAACGGGUAGUCAACGGCGGUGGAAACAUCGCUACCCCGCAAGGGGGUCUAUUCGAGGUGCUGCAUGGCUGUCGUCAGCUCGUGUCGUGAGAUGUUGGGUUAAGUCCCGCAACGAGCGCAACCCUUGUCCUGUGUUGCCAUCAUUUAGUUGGGAACUCGCAGGAGACCGCCAGCGAUAAGCUGGAGGAAGGUGGGGAUGACGUCAAGUCCUCAUGGCCUUUAUGUCCAGGGCUACACACGUGCUACAAUGGACGGUACAAAGCGCAGCGAACCCGCGAGGGGGAGCCAAUCGCAAAAAACCGUUCUCAGUUCGGAUUGCAGGCUGCAACUCGCCUGCAUGAAGCUGGAAUCGCUAGCAAUGGCAGAUCAGCACGCUGCCGUGAAUACGUUCCCGGGCCUUGUCACACCGA
rnacentral:rRNA from 1 species